AGUCACUGACAUUAGAUACCCCUGUAGUCCAGGGUGUAAACGCUGCAGACUUGGUGUUGGAAGUCCUUUGGGGGCAUUCAGUGCCGGAGAGAAGUUGUUAAGUCUGCUACUUGGGGGAGUACGUCCGCAAGGAUGAAACUUAAAGGAAUUGGCGGGGGAGCACCGCAACGGGAGGAGCGUGCGGUUUAAUUGGAUUCAACACCGUAAACUCACCAGGGAAGACUGUUACAUGAAGGCCGAGAUGAAGACUCUGCUAGAUUUUCAG
rnacentral:rRNA from 1 species